CCGCGGUAAUACGUAGGUGGCAAGCGUUAUCCGGAAUUACUGGGCGUAAAGCGCGCGCAGGCGGCUCAACAAGUCUGACGUGAAAGCUCCUGGCUUAACCGGGAGAGGUCGUUGGAAACUGUAGGGCUUGAGGCAGUGAGAGGGGUGCAGAAUUCCCGGUGUAGUGGUGGAAUGCGUAGAUAUCGGGAGGAAUACCAGUGGCGAAAGCGGCACCCUGGCACUGGACUGACGCUCAUGUGCGAAAGCGUGG
rnacentral:rRNA from 1 species